GUUGUAUGGUUAAGUGACUAAGCGUACACGGUGGAUGCCUGGGCAGUCAGAGGCGAUGAAGGACGUACUAACUUGCGAUAAGCGCAGAUAAGGCAGUAAGAGCCGUUUGAGUCUGCGAUUUCCGAAUGGGGAAACCCAACUGCAUAAGCAGUUACUGUUAACUGAAUACAUAGGUUAACAGAGCAAACCGGGGGAACUGAAACAUCUAAGUACCCCGAGGAGAAGAAAUCAACCGAGAUUCCGGUAGUAGCGGCGAGCGAACCUGGAUUAGCCCUUAAGCACUCGGUGAAGUAGGUGAACAAGCUGGAAAGCUUGGCGAUACAGGGUGAUAGCCCCGUAACCGACGCUUCAUCGAGCGUGAAAUCGAGUAGGGCGGGACACGUGAUAUCCUGUCUGAAUAUGGGGGGACCAUCCUCCAAGGCUAAAUACUCCUGACUGACCGAUAGUGAACCAGUACCGUGAGGGAAAGGCGAAAAGAACCCCUGUGAGGGGAGUGAAAUAGAACCUGAAACCGUGUACGUACAAGCAGUAGGAGCACCUUCGUGGUGUGACUGCGUACCUUUUGUAUAAUGGGUCAGCGACUUAUAUUCAGUGGCAAGGUUAACCGUAUAGGGGAGCCGUAGCGAAAGCGAGUCUUAACUGGGCGUUCAGUCUCUGGAUAUAGACCCGAAACCGGGUGAUCUAGCCAUGGGCAGGUUGAAGGUUGAGUAACAUCAACUGGAGGACCGAACCGACUAAUGUUGAAAAAUUAGCGGAUGACUUGUGGCUAGGGGUGAAAGGCCAAUCAAACUCGGAGAUAGCUGGUUCUCCCCGAAAGCUAUUUAGGUAGCGCCUCGGACGAAUACUACUGGGGGUAGAGCACUGUUAAGGCUAGGGGGUCAUCCCGACUUACCAACCCUUUGCAAACUCCGAAUACCAGUAAGUACUAUCCGGGAGACACACGGCGGGUGCUAACGUCCGUCGUGGAGAGGGAAACAACCCAGACCGCCAGCUAAGGUCCCAAAGUAUUGCUAAGUGGGAAACGAUGUGGGAAGGCUCAGACAGCUAGGAUGUUGGCUUAGAAGCAGCCAUCAUUUAAAGAAAGCGUAAUAGCUCACUAGUCGAGUCGGCCUGCGCGGAAGAUGUAACGGGGCUAAGCAAUACACCGAAGCUGCGGCAAUAUCUUUUAGAUAUUGGGUAGGGGAGCGUUCUGUAAGCCGUUGAAGGUGAAUCGUAAGGUUUGCUGGAGGUAUCAGAAGUGCGAAUGCUGACAUGAGUAACGACAAAGGGGGUGAAAAACCUCCUCGCCGGAAGACCAAGGGUUCCUGUCCAACGUUAAUCGGGGCAGGGUGAGUCGACCCCUAAGGUGAGGCCGAAAGGCGUAAUCGAUGGGAAACGGGUUAAUAUUCCCGUACUUCUGACUAUUGCGAUGGGGGGACGGAGAAGGCUAGGUGGGCCAGGCGACGGUUGUCCUGGUUCAAGUGCGUAGGCUUGAGAGUUAGGUAAAUCCGGCUCUCUCUAAGGCUGAGACACGACGUCGAGCUGCUACGGCAGUGAAGUCAUUGAUGCCAUGCUUCCAGGAAAAGCCUCUAAGCUUCAGAUAGUCAGGAAUCGUACCCCAAACCGACACAGGUGGUCGGGUAGAGAAUACCAAGGCGCUUGAGAGAACUCGGGUGAAGGAACUAGGCAAAAUGGUACCGUAACUUCGGGAGAAGGUACGCUCUUGAUGGUGAAGUCCCUCGCGGAUGGAGCUGACGAGAGUCGCAGAUACCAGGUGGCUGCAACUGUUUAUUAAAAACACAGCACUGUGCAAAAUCGCAAGAUGACGUAUACGGUGUGACGCCUGCCCGGUGCCGGAAGGUUAAUUGAUGGGGUUAGCGCAAGCGAAGCUCUUGAUCGAAGCCCCGGUAAACGGCGGCCGUAACUAUAACGGUCCUAAGGUAGCGAAAUUCCUUGUCGGGUAAGUUCCGACCUGCACGAAUGGCGUAAUGAUGGCCACGCUGUCUCCACCCGAGACUCAGUGAAAUUGAAAUCGCUGUGAAGAUGCAGUGUACCCGCGGCUAGACGGAAAGACCCCGUGAACCUUUACUACAGCUUGGCACUGAACAUUGAACCUACAUGUGUAGGAUAGGUGGGAGGCUAUGAAGACGUGACGCCAGUUGCGUUGGAGCCGUCCUUGAAAUACCACCCUUGUAUGUUUGAUGUUCUAACUUAG
rnacentral:rRNA from 1 species